rnacentral:lncRNA from 1 species
CUAAUCUUUUGUAAAACUAGUAAACAAAAGAUUCAUUUACAUCUUUAUGAGAAAUCAAACGAUUUGAUCAUUUUUCUCAUAAAAUGCAAAUAGCUCCCACUAACUUGCUAAGAUCCAUGAUGGAUGGAUCUCUACAACUUACAUGUAUUGUGAUUUAUAGUUUUAGACAUAUAUUAUCAAGACUAUCUUAAUAAUGGUUUCGGAAACCCAUAUUAUGUCCAA